rnacentral:rRNA from 1 species
AGCUGGUUCUCCUCGAAAUGCGUUGAGGCGCAGCGGUUGAUUAUGGACUUCUAGGGGGUAAAGCGCUGUCUCGGUGCGGGCUGCGAAAGCGGUACCAAUCUGUUGCAAACUCGGAAUACCUAGAACGCUUUCAAUCGGCCAGUGAGACUGCGGGGGAUAAGCUCCGUAGUCAAGAGGGAAACAGCCCAGACCACCAGCUAAGGCUCCUAAAUAAAAGCUAAGUGGCAAAGGAGGUGAAAAUGCAGUGACAAUCAGGAGGUUUGCCUAGAAGCAGCCACCCUUUAAAGAGUGCGUAAUAGCUCACUGAUCAAGCGUUUUCGCGCCGAAAAUGACCGGAACUAAGUUUUUUGCCGAAGCUGUGGCUACAUCACAUAGAUGAUGUAGGGUAGAGGAGCGUUCCGUCCAGGGGGAAGCCAAGCGCGUAAGCCGCGGUCGACAGGACGGAAGUGAGAAUGUCAGAUUGAGUAACGUAAACAUUGGUGAGAAUCCAGUGCCCCGAAAACUCAAGGGUUCCUGCGCAAGGCUCGUCCGCGCAGGGUCAGUCAGGACCUAAGGUGAGGCCGAAAGGCGUAAUUGAUGGCAAGAAGGUUUAUAUUCCUUCACUAGUCUAGGCUUAGUCCUGAGGGACGAACAAAUAACACUCGGCACAACGGCCACACUUGGCAGUAUGGAUAAACCCGUUGCUGUUUGAUGCUAUUUAUUCCAAGAAAAGCUCAUUCGACUUUGAGUCUAGAUUACCUGUACCGUAAACCGACACAGGUGAGUGGGUUGAAUAAACUAAGGGGAGCGAGAUAACUCUCUCUAAGGAACUCGGCAAAUUGGCUCUGUACCUUCGGAAGAAAGAGUGCCCCUCAGGGGGCCGCAGUGAAGAGAUCCAGGCGACUGUUUACCAAAAACACAGGUCUCCGCAAAGUCGUAAGACGACGUAUGGGGGCUGACACCUGCCCAGUGCCAGAAGGUUAAAGAAGUUGGUCAAUCUAUGAUGAAGCUAACGACUGAAGCCCUGGUGAACGGCGGCAGUAACUAUAACUGUCCUAAGGUAGCGAAAUUCCUUGUCGGGUAAGUUCCGACCCGCACGAAAGGUGUAACGAUCUGGAUACUGUCUCAGAGAGAGACUCGGUGAAAUAAAACUAUCUGUGAAGAUGCGGAUUACCUGCACACGGACAGAAAGACCCUAUGAAGCUUUACUGUAACCUGGAAUUGCUCUCAAGCUUAUCUUGCGCAGCUUAGGUGGGAGGCUAUGAACCUUUUCUUCUGGGAAGAGGGGAGCCAUCAGUGAGAUACCACUCUUGGUAAGCUAGAAAGCUCAGUCUUAACCGUUAUCCGGUAAGACGACAGUUUCAGGCGGGCAGUUUGACUGGGGCAGUCACCUCCCAAAAGGUAAUGGAGGUGCACAAAGGUUCCCUCAGGUUGGACGGAAAUCAACCAUAGAGUGUAAAAGCAUAAGGGAGCUUGACUGCGAGACUGACAUGUCAAGCAGAGACGAAAGUCGGUUUUAGUGAUCCGACGGUGCUGUGUGGAAAGGCCGUCGCUCAACGGAUAAAAGUUACUCUAGGGAUAACAGGCUAAUCUCCCCCAAGAGUUCACAUCGACGGGGAGGUUUGGCACCUCGAUGUCGGCUCGUCGCAUCCUGGAGCGGAAGUACGUUCCAAGGGUUGGGCUGUUCGCCCAUAGAAAGCGGCACGCGAGCUGGGUUCAGAACGUCGUGAGACAGUUUGGUCCAUAUCCUGUGUAGGCGUUUAGAGCAUUGAAAGGAUCUCCCCUUUGUACGAGAGGACCAGGUGGGGACAGACCGCUAGUGUACCAGUUAUCCCACCAGGGGUAAACGCUGGGUAGCUAUGUCUGGAGUAAAUAACUGCUGAAAGCAUAUAAGUAGGAAGUUCACCUUAAGAUGAGUGCUCUUUUGUCUCAACCGUUCAGUUUUACUGACAAAUGAAAGACAAGGAAGGUCACGGCAAGACGAGCCGUUUGAUAGGCAUGAAGUAGAAGUGCAGUAAUGCAUUCUGAAGCUGACAUGUGCUAAUAGACCGAGGGAUUUGAUUUU